UACAGAGGUCUCAAGCGUUGUUCGGAUUCAUUGGGCGUAAAGCGCGCGUAGGCGGUUGCUUAAGUCGGAUGUGAAAGCCCUCGGCUUAACUGAGGAAGUGCAUCCGAAACUGAGCAGCUAGAGUACGAAAGAGGGUCGCGGAAUUCCCGGUGUAGAGAUGAAAUUCGUAGAUAUCGGGGAGGAACACCGGUGGCGAAGGCGGCGACCUGGGUCGAGACUGACGCUGAGGCGCGAAAAGCGUGGGGAGCAAACAGG
rnacentral:rRNA from 1 species